UGGGGAAUAUUGCACAAUGGGGGAAACCCUGAUGCAGCGACGCCGCGUGAGCGAAGAAGGUUUUCGAAUCGUAAAGCUCUGUCCUAUGAGAAGAUAAUGACGGUAUCAUAGGAGGAAGCCCCGGCUAAAUACGUGCCAGCAGCCGCGGUAAUACGUAUGGGGCGAGCGUUGUCCGGAAUUAUUGGGCGUAAAGGGUACGUAGGCGGUCUAUUAAGUCAGGUGUGAAAGCGUGAGGCUUAACCUCAUUAAGCACUUGAAACUGAUAGACUUGAGUGAAGGAGAGGAAAGUGGAAUUCCUAGUGUAGCGGUGAAAUGCGUAGAUAUUAGGAGGAAUACCGGUGGCGAAGGCGACUUUCUGGACUUUUACUGACGCUCAGGUACGAAAGCGUGGGGCGCAAACAGG
rnacentral:rRNA from 1 species